AAACUGAAGAGUUUGAUCAUGGCUCAGAUUGAACGCUGGCGGCAGGCCUAACACAUGCAAGUCGAGCGGUAACAGGAAGAAGCUUGCUUCUUUGCUGACGAGCGGCGGACG
rnacentral:rRNA from 1 species